rnacentral:rRNA from 2 species
CCCGCACAAGCGGUGGAGCAUGUGGUUUAAUUCGAUGCUACGCGAAGAACCUUACCUGGGCUUGACAUCCCGGGAAUCCUCCAGAGAUGGAAGAGUGCCCUUCGGGAACCCGGAGACAGGUGCUGCAUGGCUGUCGUCAGCUCGUGUCGUGAGAUGUUGGGUUAAGUCCCGCAACGAGCGCAACCCUUGUCAUUAGUUGCCAGCAGUUCGGCUGGGCACUCUAGUGAGACUGCCGGGGAUAACUCGGAGGAAGGUGGGAUGACGUCAAAUCAUCAUGCCCCUUAUGUUCUGGGCUACACACGUGCUACAAUGGCUGGUACAAAGAGAAGCAAGACGGUGACGUGGAGCAAAUCUCAAAAACCAGUCCCAGUUCGGAUUGUAGGCUGCAACUCGCCUACAUGAAGUUGGAGUUGCUAGUAAUCGCGAAUCAGAAUGUCGCGGUGAAUGCGUUCCCGGGUCUU